AAAUAUGCUUUCAGUGAAAACGUCUUCAACAGGCAAAUUGUGGCUCGUGGAUUGCUGGAUGUGCUCCGGGAGUUCAGUGAUAAUGAAAAUGACUUCAUCAGCGUCAUGGAAACGGUUGCCAGGAUGUCUGAGGAUGGAGAACCGACAGUGCGAGCAGAGCUGAUGGAACAGGUACCAAACAUUGCCAUGUUCCUCCAUGAAAAUCGGCCCAAUUUCCCAGAAGCCUUCUUGCGGUAUCUGGUACCCAUUGUGGUCCGGUAUCUCACAGAC